GAUGAACGCUGGCGGCGUGCUUAACACAUGCAAGUCGAACGGGAUCCAAGGGGUGCUUGCACUUUUUGGUGAGAGUGGCGAACGGGUGAGUAACACGUGAGUAACCUGUCCUUUUCUUUGGGAUAAGCAUUCGAAAGGGUGUUUAAUACCUUAUGUUCUGUCUGCCUCGCAUGGGGUGGGUGGGAAAGGCUUUGGCCGGAUUUGGGUGGGCUCGCGGUCUAUCAGCUUGUUGGUGGGGUGAUGGCUUACCAAGGCUUUGACGGGUAGCCGGCCUGAGAGGGUGGUAGGUCACAUUGGGACUGAGAUACGGCCCAGACUCCUGCGGGAGGCAGCAGUGGGGGAUAUUGCACAAUGGGCGAAAGCCUGAUGCAGCGACGCCGCGUGGGGGAUGAAGGCCUUCGGGUUGUAAACUUCUUUUGCUCUGAACAAGGCAUGCCAGUGGGUGUGUUGAGUGUAGGGGUUGAUUAGCGCCGGCUAACUACGUG
rnacentral:rRNA from 1 species